GCCCGAGCCCGGCCCGAGCCCACAGUCAAAAGUCCGAGCCCAUCCCAGGCCUGGGCUUUCGGCUCAGCAAAGUCUGCGGAUCUGGUUAUGCUUCCUGUACGAGACAGAUCACGAAGCGGUUGCUGACUGACCAGUUGGGGCGAAAAUUUUUGUGGGAAGGACGUAAGAGAAAGGUGACAUUCAGGAACCUUCACCUUGCUGAGUGCAUCAUAAAUGCAGUGCAGAGCUGCCAUAAAUGUGAAGACUUCAAGGUAGAAACCAUGGUCACGGAUUAACUUCGCCACGCACCUGCCUGACAUCAGUCAUCUCAAAUGGAACAUUCUGCACCACAGGAGAGAGAGAUGUGAACUGCCUUAAGUGGGCC
rnacentral:lncRNA from 1 species